GUUGGGUAGGGGAGCGUUCUGUAAGCCUGUGAAGGUGUGUCGUGAGGCAUGCUGGAGGUAUCAGAAGUGCGAAUGCUGACAUAAGUAACGAUAAAGCGGGUGAAAAGCCCGCUCGCCGGAAGACCAAGGGUUCCUGUCCAACGUUAAUCGGGGCAGGGUGAGUCGACCCCUAAGGCGAGGCCGAAAGGCGUAGUCGAUGGGAAACGGGUUAAUAUUCCCGUACUUGGUGUUACUGCGAAGGGGGGACGGAGAAGGCUAUGUUGGCCGGGCGACGGUUGUCCCGGUUUAAGCGUGUAGGUGUGUGUUCCAGGUAAAUCCGGUUCACUUUAACACUGAGGCGUGACGACGAGGCACUACGGUGCUGAAGCAACAAAUGCCCUGCUUCCAGGAAAAGCCUCUAAGCAUCAGGUAACAUCAAAUCGUACCCCAAACCGACACAGGUGGUCAGGUAGAGAAUACCAAGGCGCUUGAGAGAACUCGGGUGAAGGAACUAGGCAAAAUGGUGCCGUAACUUCGGGAGAAGGCACGCUGACACGUAGGUGAAGUGAUUUACUCAUGGAGCUGAAGUCAGUCGAAGAUACCAGCUGGCUGCAACUGUUUAUUAAAAACACAGCACUGUGCAAACACGAAAGUGGACGUAUACGGUGUGACGCCUGCCCGGUGCCGGAAGGUUAAUUGAUGGGGUCAGCGCAAGCGAAGCUCCUGAUCGAAGCCCCGGUAAACGGCGGCCGUAACUAUAACGGUCCUAAGGUAGCGAAAUUCCUUGUCGGGUAAGUUCCGACCUGCACGAAUGGCGUAAUGAUGGCCAGGCUGUCUCCACCCGAGACUCAGUGAAAUUGAACUCGCUGUGAAGAUGCAGUGUACCCGCGGCAAGACGGAAAGACCCCGUGAACCUUUACUAUAGCUUGACACUGAACAUUGAGCCUUGAUGUGUAGGAUAGGUGGGAGGCUUUGAAGUGUGGACGCCAGUCUGCAUGGAGCCGACCUUGAAAUACCACCCUUUAAUGUUUGAUGUUCUAACGUGGACCCGUGAUCCGGGUUGCGGACAGUGUCUGGUGGGUAGUUUGACUGGGGCGGUCUCCUCCUAAAGAGUAACGGAGGAGCACGAAGGUUGGCUAAUCCUGGUCGGACAUCAGGAGGUUAGUGCAAUGGCAUAAGCCAGCUUGACUGCGAGCGUGACGGCGCGAGCAGGUGCGAAAGCAGGUCAUAGUGAUCCGGUGGUUCUGAAUGGAAGGGCCAUCGCUCAACGGAUAAAAGGUACUCCGGGGAUAACAGGCUGAUACCGCCCAAGAGUUCAUAUCGACGGCGGUGUUUGGCACCUCGAUGUCGGCUCAUCACAUCCUGGGGCUGAAGUAGGUCCCAAGGGUAUGGCUGUUCGCCAUUUAAAGUGGUACGCGAGCUGGGUUUAGAACGUCGUGAGACAGUUCGGUCCCUAUCUGCCGUGGGCGCUGGAGAACUGAGGGGGGCUGCUCCUAGUACGAGAGGACCGGAGUGGACGCAUCACUGGUGUUCGGGUUGUCAUGCCAAUGGCACUGCCCGGUAGCUAAAUGCGGAAGAGAUAAGUGCUGAAAGCAUCUAAGCACGAAACUUGCCCCGAGAUGAGUUCUCCCUGAGACUUA
rnacentral:rRNA from 1 species